AGAUCUCCUGACAUCCAAACAGGCCCUAAAUGCAUUGCUAGAGAAUCCUCACCUAAAAUCAAAUAAUCUUGAAAGUUUAUCGAAGAAACAAAAUCAUCAUCAUCAUGAACCUAGGCCCAUUGAUUUCAUCAUCAAGCAGACUAUCAACAUGGAAACCCACGAUAAUUAUGGCUGACCAAUUUAGGCUGCAUUUAGUUGAGGAAUACGGAGGAAUAAAAGGUCCUUAACCUGCCUAUUCCAGUUCUUUUCAGCCAAACAUUCAUUUGAGGAUAUGGGUUAAACUACUUUCAGAAUGAGUAUUUCAGGGAAAUAGGUAGUUCAGGAGGACAGAAUAAGGACAAAAAGGAGAAAGGAAAAAAUGUAAAAGAACAUGAUAAUGACCUUCAUGAAGAUGGGAUGAUGGGCAAGGCUAGGGCAUUUUGUACUAUCAUGAGAAGAUGGUUACCACAAGAGAAAGGAGAAAGAUGAAGAUAGGUAUGCUAUAAACACAUUGCUAGAGAAAUCUCUUCUACCUAAUAUGCCCUCAAAUAAGAGGCUGUCUCGUUGCCUGCAAUUCCACUCACUUGUCUACAACAAGACUUGCAAUUGCAAGUAAAAAUGCUGCCUUUAUAUUUUAUCGUUGAAAAAAAUAUUACUAUUUGACUUCUUGUGAUAGACAGUUGCAUAUGAUUUGCACUUUGGUUGCAUGAUAUUAAACAAAAUGUGGUAAUCCUGGAGAUGACCUGGUAAAGUUACUCCCUUAGAAACAGUGAACUGUCUGUUUUCUCUUUGUUUUAUUUAACCAAUAGGCAGCCAACUAUAAACUUUUUCUCAUCAUGUAUGUUUUAUAAUAAUAAAGUUUUAUUUAUGAUAACUAUAAUAAUAGUGCAAUUAUAAUUAUAAAAUUAUAUCAAUUACUAUGAUCUUAAAAAUUAAUCACAAUUAUUUCAAUAUUAUUACCAAUAAUGAAUGUCGCAUUAUAACUAUAUACUAAUAUUUAUAUGUUCAUAUAACAUUAUAACGUUAUGUAUUAUGUAAUUAUUACAAUAUUACAAUGCAGGAACUGUUGCUAAGAAAUAUAACGAAAAAAGUUUGUAAUCAGAAUAUGAAGAAAAAUGUGUUAUAAUCUGCAUAGCUGUUGAAGGUAAUAUAUGUUACAAAGCUUGUUUACCCUAACUCAGUCUAGGUAGAGUUGUGGUGUGGAUGCUAAAAUAGCAUUAGGAAUAACUAAAAUGGCAUACAUGCCUUGAAACUAUUUUUUUACAUUAAACACAUGAAAGUAUGCCUAACAUUUCACUUAGUUCUCGGUUCGUGCAUACGUAUGCACGCAUAUACAUCUUUCAUGUUUGCCAGGUUUAAUAGUACAAAGCAAGAUUUUAUAUCCUGUUGGGCGGGGGUGUCCCAGUUUCUCCACCAAAGGGGAUGCCCUACUGUCCCACCCUAUCCCGACGGGCAUCCCUGUCUAGUGGCUCAGUAGGCACCCUCCAACCCUCUCCCCUUUUCUUUCUUUAUAUGUUUCUUUUUCUUGCUUCAUUUUUUUUUCUCUUCCUUCCUUUCUUUCUUUCCUUUUCUUCUUGUUUCUUUCUUUUUCCUUAUUUCCUUCCUUUUUGUCUUUUUCCUCCCUUUCUUCUUUCUUUAUUCCUCUUCCUUCCUUCCUUUUUUCCUUUUCUUCUUUUCUUCCUUGCUUUCUCUUUCUUCUUCUUUCUCCCACAUGGAUAGGUUGUGGAGUUCCCCCCCCAUUCCGAUCCUAUUUUCUCACACGAACAGGAUGAGAAGGCAGGGAUGUCUGUCGUCGCACUGAGAGUUAGAACCUUAGUAGAAAGAUUUCAUGGACAAGGAUUCAUUUAAGAUUUUUAUUACAAAGAAAAAUGCUUUGGCUGGUCUACUUGAACUUCAUCAUUCAAUCCUCGCCAUGGACUUAAGUCCCAACGGGAUGUCUCGUUGGACACCAAGACGGGGUACAAUCUCGAGCAUUGGGACAGGACCAUCCCACCAUUUUUCCAGCAUCCUGAUUGGUACGUCUUGAGACAUCCCCUAUCCCAAGUACUGAGAUGGGGUGAGACGUCAGCGCAUCCUAUCCAAUAGAAAAAAUGGGACAGCCCUAUCCCACGAGAUUUAAAACCUUGAACCUCGCAAUCAUCAUUUUCAAGUGGUUGAAUUUCUGAUAGGUAAUGAUAAUAAAUGUGAACUACUAAAUAUAUUUGUUUUGUAAGUAGCUUAUUAAAUCUAUUAGUUAAGCCCAACUAACUUACAACUUGCAUCAUAUGAAUUCUUCUAUUCUAUAUUAAUCGAUAGGUCAUGCUUAAGUCCGUGCAUAAUCCGUUUGCACACAUGACCUCUAUGAAAGACAAAUUAGUCCAACCAUGCCUUAGUCUGAUUUCACCAGGCAGGCAGGUUGCUUACUUGGAUUUGCAAUGACAGCACAUUAUAUUCAAAUUUUAGGAUUUCAGAUGGCCAAAAAUUUUCAUGUUCAGGAUCAAUUCUUGUUGGUAUAAAAUAUAAAUCCUUAAAUUGCAAACCAAUCAUGACAGAGGUGCUUUAUGGUUGAACUAUAUUUAUAGUCUAUAAUUUGAUGAAAUCGAAGGAAAGAAAGAGCUGUAGUGAGCUAUUAAAAUGAUUUUCUAUUUGAUCAUCAUUAUACAUGCAUUCUUUUGAUCAUAAAAUUGCUAGCCAGUACAAAUGUUAUACAUUCACUUACAAUUUGCAUGCUUUUUUCCUGUUUUCAAAAAUCGCAGACUCAAACAAUUGCUUGUUUUUCUGCCUCCUAAUCAAGAGGGUAGGAGGAUUGUAAUUGCAACAAAAGAAGAAACUAGUUUAUCGCUUAUAUAGCCAAAACCAAAGCAAUCCAAACUAACUAGUAGUAUGCUAUCUAUAUGGGAUGAACAUUACAGAUCAUGUUAUGCCUCCUCAGAUUCUGAAAAUGUUGAAUGAUUGGCUCUCAACUUGAAGGCAGCCCAUUUAUGGAUUAAGGUAGAAUUUAUAGCUAAGACAACUUUUGAAAAGAGAGAUUGCAUUAAACCUACAAGCCCAUGUAUUGUGUAAGGAGACUGACCUUGUCUACAACUAAUUAGAAUGCAUGACAUCCAAGCAACUAUAUUACAUUUUAUUUGAAACAUCAUUAAUAAUUUAACAAUUUCUUUUAGCUUUUAAAACUAAUUAGACCUGACUGGCACUGACUGUAACGAUCCAGAAAAACCGCAACCUAAAACACUGGCGUGUUUCUGAUCAAGCUGGUUAUGAGAGCAGACGAGAGGCUAGUGAAUCUAAAUCACCAUCUCGAGAUGGAAGAUAUGCUGUUGGUUUGCCCCUUGUCCCUGCUUCGGUUUGUUGGUUAAUAAAAACACGAGUUUCGAUAGGCUGGAGGACUGAUACUAUAAGUAACAUGAAGGCCUUAUUCAGAUGUAUGAAGAAGAAUACCACUAGGGAUGUAGAACUAGUUGAGAAAGCUAGUACUUCGGGGCGUUGCUACAAGAAAAGACUUCAAUAUGUCACAACUUACAACUUCAGUAAUUCUUAAUUAGUUAUGUACUUCUAAUUUUCUUCCCAUUAUUUAUCUUUCUCUAGAGUUGCAUGUUGCAUUAAUUUACAUACACUGAAUAUUGUUUAUCUUUGGUGCUCAAUAGAUAUUAUUGCAUAAUUUGCAGGAAAGAACUGCAGUUUUGCCACUAACAUGCCAUGUUACAUAUCUAAGGUUCACAAACAACUACACAAAGUAGUUCCCUUAAUUUGUUAUACUGUAAAUUAGCUUAUAGUUUGAUUUAUUUAUAUUUGGCCGUUAUAUUUGUUCGUUUAUGAAUAUUAUUGAUUUUCAAAUGCAAUCCAUCUAAAAAUCCACCUAAGUUAUCGCUUUUUGCUUAAAUGCUAGGCAAUCACUUGCUACAUUCAUAUUAUAUAUAAUAACUGCCUUUUAAACACCACACAUGCAUAACAAAUUGAGAUUUAGAAUUUCAUAUAACAGAUUCAUUUAUUAUAUGGAUAUUAAUAUAUAACUCUAUAAUUAGGAAUUUGGUAAUUUAUGUCCCACUUAUUAGUAGAGUAAAAAUAAUUCCUGGAUAGAUAUGGUACAUAUUUCCACCCAGCAUGUUUCUUGUCUUAGUUUCCAGAUUCAUUGUCCAUUUACUUGGUGCCAGAAUCAUGAAUUGAAGUAUUGCUCCAUAUCCUACUAUAAUGAAUCUCACAAUAUGCAUGAUCUCAAAAAUUUCAAGCAUAGUGCAAUGGGAUGUACCAAUGCAUUGCAUAAACAGGCUCAUAUUGCUACAUAUUAGCCUGUAAAAGUGCUUUUGCCUAAAUGCAAGUUGCAAUUUGAUAUGUAAUAUGUGCUACUCUAUUUUCCUCUCCUGUACCAAUGCUUGAUCAUCCAAAACAGUCUUGGUUAUGUUCAGGAUAGCCUAAAGCUCUUCACCAUUUGCUCGUUUUUGAGUCUAGGAUCUGAAGGCUGAAUAACAAAUUGGAUGCAACGAAAACAUUCUUCCAUAGUAUAGUGAAUCAAAAGCUAGAUGUCAUUUUCUCUCCUAUCUUUCGUAGGUUUUACAAAAAGCAUAUUAAAAUCUUGCUUUAAUUUCAGACUAAACAUGGUUUUAAAUGCCACAAAAAAGGGACGGCACAUCCAGUGUUGUGCCAUUCUGGCCAAAAACUAGCACAGGGACACCCCUCAGGUCGCUAAAACAAGUGAGAUUCAGGCAUCCCAGUAGGAAGGGUCAAUGUCAAUCAGUAUAUGCCCUGGUUCAGCCAGUACAACAUAGGAAUCACAUGUCCCAAUUGAAACAUGCCACACCACCACGUACUAAGACCAAUUCAAUUGGUUUGCCAGU
rnacentral:lncRNA from 1 species